rnacentral:rRNA from 1 species
AGCUGUGAUGGGGAGAAGACAUUGUGUCUUCGAGUCGUUGAUUUCACACUGCCGAGAAAAGCCUCUAGAUAGAAAAUAGGUGCCCGUACCGCAAACCGACACAGGUAGUCAAGAUGAGAAUUCUAAGGUGAGCGAGCGAACUCUCGUUAAGGAACUCGGCAAAAUGACCCCGUAACUUCGGGAGAAGGGGUGCUCUUUAGGGUUAACGCCCAGAAGAGCCGCAGUGAAUAGGCCCAAGCGACUGUUUAUCAAAAACACAGGUCUCUGCUAAACCGUAAGGUGAUGUAUAGGGGCUGACGCCUGCCCGGUGCUGGAAGGUUAAGAGGAGUGGUUAGCUUCUGCGAAGCUACGAAUCGAAGCCCCAGUAAACGGCGGCCGUAACUAUAACGGUCCUAAGGUAGCGAAAUUCCUUGUCGGGUAAGUUCCGACCCGCACGAAAGGCGUAACGAUUUGGGCACUGUCUCAACGAGAGACUCGGUGAAAUCAUAGUACCUGUGAAGAUGCAGGUUACCCGCGACAGGACGGAAAGACCCCGUGGAGCUUUACUGUAGCCUGAUAUUGAAAUUCGGCACAGCUUGUACAGGAUAGGUAGGAGCCUUUGAAACGUGAGCGCUAGCUUACGUGGAGGCGCUGGUGGGAUACUACCCUAGCUGUGUU